GUUCACGUGGGCUGUUGAGAAUCCUGGAUAUGCAGGAGGUGAGGGCCAAUUUUCCCUGUGUCUUAGGCAAACUGAUGUCCUGGUCCAUGGUAAUAGAAUACAAAAACAAAAAGAAGAUAAACUUAUUCUGAGCUCAGAGGAAGGUGUUUGGAGAUCUUCUGACUACCCUCUAAGGAAAGAAUACAUAGCCUGUGAUAAGAAAUUCUUGGCUAGCAUUGUGCUGGGCACUGGCAAAGAAGAGAAGCAGCCCAAAGUGGAGAGGUCUGUGACUCCCUUUACCUGUACUUGUUUACUCAUGUUUUGGCAAGAUGCUUGGGGGCUGAGUUGGGUGGACCAAGGAUGCCACAGCUUGUCAUCUAAGGAGACUGGGAGAGGCUGGGUGGUGAUUCUGGUUAGAUGAGUCCCCACCCUGCACGAGACGAGGGAAGUCAUGGCUUCUGGGUGGAGGUGGUAGGCACGCUCAUGAAUCAUAAACCCCUCUCAUUCAUAACUGAGUAGCUGGUACUUCUAGUGCCAUGCAUGUUUUUUACGCAGUAUGGUGCUAAACAUACACCCUCAAAGAGCACCACUUUCUUCAUCCCACUAGAUGAAAGGGAUUUAUUGAUCAGAUGACAAGCUUUCCAAGGGCUGAUCACAUUUGGUGACUCCAUCUUGCCCGCACCACUCCAAGGCCUUAAGAUGAGGAGCAGGAUCUUCACUCUUCCUUUCUUGCUUCUUCUAGAAUGCCCCUCCUACCUUUCCUUCUGUUUUUUUUUUUUUAAAGAUUCUAUUUAUUUAUCCACGAGAGACAGAAUGAGAGAGAGAGGCAGAGAGACACAGGCAGAGGGAGGAGCAGGCCUCAUGCAGGGAGCCCGACGUGGGAUUCGAUCCCGGGUCUCCAGGAUCACGCCCUGGGCCAAAGGUGGCGCUAAAUUGCUGAGCCACCUGGCCUGCCCUUUCCUUCUGUUUACCUCUUCUUCUUUGGAGUUGGUUUCAUUGCUCUUCCUCUCCUUGUUUGUCAGGUUUCCCUCUCCUUCCUCCCAUGGCCGCCUUAUGUGGUUCUGGAUCCAGGUGGCAUCUUCUUCUGUGCUCUUCAUGUCAGAAGCACCCACCACUUGAGCCACCCCGUCCUGGGGUAUUCUGAGCUAGAGCCCAUUGGUCCAUGAGGUGAGGCUGCCCCUCCUGCAGGGCUUACUGAAGUUUGCGUUCACGAGCUUUUUUUUUUUACCCCUUGCUUUACCUAGUCCUCUCCUCAGUGACCCAACAAGCCUUUUCAAAUCUUUCUGUAACUAAGUUUUUCUCUUUUUUUAAAAAAUUUUUAUUUAUUUAUGAUAGUCAGAGAGAGAGAGAGAGAGAGAGAGGAGAGAGAGAGAGAGAGGCAGAGACAUAGGCAGAGGGAGAAGCAGACUCCAUGCACCGAGAGCCCGACGUGGGAUUCGAUCCAGGGUCUCCAGGAUCACACCCUGGGCCAAAGGCAGGCACUAAACCACUGUGCCACCCAGGGAUCCCCUAAGUUUUUCUCUUAAUCCUCCUGCCAACUCUGCUCCUCUGCUCCCCAGGCCCCUGUCUCUUCUGUGGGGCCCUCUGAUCUAUCUGUACCUUGCUGGUGUUUACAUGUCCUAGGCUGAACGUGUGUUCUAGUCAGUGGGGGGGAAGAGUGAAGGACGGCCAUGUGUUCCUGUCCAGCUGGGCUUUUCUGUCCAGCUGGGCUUUUCCUGUCCAGCUCCCUUCCACUCUGGGCUUUUCUAGGCUCUUCUGUAUUCCCGCUAUCCAGCCAAGAGCCAGGAUGGGAGUGUUCUCUGUCUCUUUUAUUCCUUAGAACCUCACCCCACUGUUUUUUUUUUCCAGUCUAAAUCUCAUUUCGAAAUCUCCUACCCAAAGGGUUUCCCAAUGCCUCCCAGUUUUGAAUCAACCUGCUGUUUACAGCACACCCAGAUCAGGAAUAGAGACGUCAGGGGGGACCAGAUCUGAUACUACGCCCUGAAGACACUCAUGUGCCUGAAUUCGUCAUUGGACUGGUGGCACCUGGACAAACAAAUCUAUUUCCUCCUAUCUCCCAAGAAGGUAAGAAACCAAGUAGGCUCCAAGCUGAGAACAAGGACUGGCCAGAAGGCAAAUACCAACUUGGCCAUAUUCCUCCCCUGGGGAAGGUGUUUGAGGAAGGGCUGUCACUGCAAGUCCAGCCUGCACCAGGGGAGAUCCUCUCUAAGCAGCCCACAGAAUUCUCUGUCCCCCGACUGAAGUGCCCAGGCCCUCCCUGAGGGCCGUUUCUUAAGAAUAUGCAUCCUACUUCCCCACUCACUUAAUGGGGUGGAUUCCUAGCCCUCAAGAACCUGAGCCAGGAGCAGCCUCUAGAACACAGAGAAGUAGGUCAGUGGUGUUUUUUGAACAAGCAAAGUGGGUUGUUCCCUACAUACCCAGGGUACCAACCACUUGCCUCAGUAACCUGACAGCUCUCUGUCACCAGCAAGGAGGGCCCACCUGUGGUCUUUAUUCUCCAAAAGAAGCUGAAGGAUCAGCUUGGGGUGGAAAUGGCAACCUGGAUCUCUGCAUCAUCUUCUAGCCAACAAAACAUCUCAACUUGACCUUUUUUAUUUUAUUUUUUUUAAUUUAAUUUUAUUUUAUGAUAGUCACAGAGAGAGAGAGAGAGAGAGGCAGAGACACAGGCAGAGGGAGAAGCAGGCUCCAUGCACCGGGAGCCCGAUAUGGGAUUCGAUCCCGGGUCUCCAGGAUCGCGCCCUGGGCCAAAGGCAGGCGCCAAACCGCUGCGCCACCCAGGGAUCCCUCAACUUGACUUUAAAAAAAAAAAAUCGAUUCAAAGCCUCAAUUCUUUUUUUUUUUAAUAUUUAUUUAUUUAUUUUAGAGAGACAGCAUGAGCAGUGGGGAGGAGUAGGGGAGAGGGAGGAAACAGACUCUCUGCUGAGGAGGGAGCCUCACAUGGGGCUCUAUCCCAGGACGCUGAGAUCAUGACCUGAGAUCAUAACCUGAGCCAAAACCAAGCGUCCAAUGCUCAACCACCUGAGCCACCCAGUUGCCCCCUCAAAGCCCCAAUUCUGCAUAUAAUUCCCUUUCAUCUAAAUGAACAGAGUGGAAUAUGGACAUCAAACCAGCCUCUGAGGGCUCUUGUCACCCUCUAUCUGAGAUAAAUGCUGCAGACAAGAACUAAGCCUUUCUGCUCCCAUCAUUUGAGGAGAGAAAACACCAUCUGAUGCCAUAGCAAGCUCCUAUUCUUGGCACUUGGUGUCACUCUUGCUUCACCUUGCCUCAGCUCGAAGCCUUCCACUGACUGGUGGCAACCACCACAGAGGGGCAGAACUCUCUCCUCCCUCUCCCUUCCCCACGGACGCACACACAUGUACACAUUUACAAAAGUCUGGGCAGGAGUCCAGCUCUCCUGAGGAAGGGCAAGUGUCCUGGCAGAAGGAUGACAGGAGUGCCACAUGGUGAAGGGUAGGAAGAAGGACCUCAUCUUCCCUGAGAAGGCUGGGGUGGAACCUAGACUCCUGGAAUUGUUGGUUGUUGACCUUGCCAAUGUUUUCUUAAAACUCAAAAUUGCUCAGAAGACAAUCUAAUAGCACAAACUUGCACAUAUAAACACUAAGAGUCACUUGAUAUCAAACUGGCAAAUUUUGGUGACAGAAGCACAGAGAUGACCCAUCUAUAGCUUGCUGUCUCUCUCCUUUUCAAGACCUUGGCUACUAAACCUUUGUCAAUCCCCAAGGCAGAGUUGAUACAUUUGUUUCUGCUGAGAACACCUUUUGGCAACUAAAUAAAUGCCAUAUUUCCUUUUAGUUAAUCUUUUAAUUAGCAAAAUCGAACUUCUCCACUUGCACAUUCCAUGGCCUCUGUUCCAUUGUCUCAAUCUCUCUUAACCUCUGCUGUUUCGCUUUCCUCCCUCCACCACUGCCAGGCUCCUCUCAACAAGAGUUAUGUGCUCCCACUGGCUCUAGGCUCACUCCAGAGUCUCCUCUUGCAACACCCCCCCAACACACACACACACACACACACACACACACACACACACACACACAGUCUCUAGAAGAUCCCUUUGUCCUUGAGGCUCUCCCAUGGAUGGAUAGCCCUUAGAAGGAGAGUGGUUCCUCCUUCUCUGGGUCACACAGAUCUAAUAUUCUUCUUACAAGAAAUCUAACUCCUUUAUGACCCAUGAAGGAAGGUGAUUCAGGGUAAAGGAGAGGCUGGAGCGUCCCUAAAGAGCACAGGCUAGUGAAGAUCCACUACCCAAGAAGAGCCAGUCUGGAAAGGGCCACCUGCCCAAGCCAAAACUGAACUUCCACAACACUCCUAUCUGCAGCAGGUCACACCAUUAUCGGCCUAAGAAGACAACAAUAACUAGCUUACAGGGCUUGCAGUUACUUUGCUAUUCCCUAAUCCCAGGCUAACUGGCUGUUCUGAGCAAAAGCUCUCAGGGAAGGUAGGACUUCACUGUGCCCUCCCAGAAGAGUUCUGACAUCUCAAGACACAAGGGAGCAGGGCUCACCAUUUACCUGCUGCCUUUUAUUUGAAAACAUCUUGUGAGAGUGCAUCCUAGGUUCCCAGGUUCCACCCAGAUCAUUCCACCUAGAGUCUACCUUUUAGUAGUUCCUGGAAUAGGGGCAGGUAAUAUCUAGCCUGGCAAGUCACACUGGAGGUGACUGAAGGCCCCACGAGGAGGAGACACAGUGCCUGAACUACCAUUUAUCCUAUUUCUAGAGAUAAGAGUGUUGAUGCCAAGGUCAGGAAUGAGCAGCUCCCACCAAUAGUACUAUGUGGUGCUGAGACCUAGCCCCUCUUGCUUUUUCUUGGGCAGCACCCCCAGGGUAGCAGAUGGAAGCCCUAGACUGUGGGGAAUGUGAAGUGAUCCAAGGGUAGUAGUGAGUCAGGUUGCACUCUUGGAGUAAUUCAAAACACUUUAUCACUUUUAUUCCAUGGAUCUUAUUCAUAUCCAAGGAAAGAAAGAAGGAAGGAAAAGGGUAGAGCCUUCUCAUUUCAUCAAAACAAAGUGAAUGGGGCACCUACAGGUGGCUCAGUUGGUUGAGCAUCUUACUCUUAGUUUCAGCUCAGGUCCUGAUCUCAGGGUCAUGGGAUUGAGCCCCAUGAUGGGCUUCAUGCUGGGUAUGGAGCCUACUUUUCAAAAAAUUAAAUUUAAUUAAAAAAAAAAGAAGUACAUACAAACCUAAAAAUGUGGACACUGGCCCUUGGUCAUAGCAAAUGAGACAGCUGAUUGUGUGUGUGUGUGUGGGGGGGUCCUCUACUCUGGCGGUCUCUGGUAAUCUGACAGUGCAGACUGACUUCAAAAGAAGGCUGAACUUGACCCCCUGUGUUAGAAAGCAUACCAAAGCACAAAUACUCCCUGCCCUGCGUUCCUCAAACUUUGUAAAUAACAGAGACGCUUGCUAGAGUAAUUAGAACAAAAAUUCAGCUAAGUGGUUUGAGAAGGUGUGGCUGGAGCAUUCUAUGUGUUUUUUCUAAAGCCGGACAUGUAGACAGUCCAAAAUACAAGUUUAAUGAGCUUAUAAAUUUGGAGUGACUCUUCAUAUCUUGUAGUGAGGUCAGGGGUUCAACUACUUCACUCUUGACAUCAAAGAGGCUGGUAUAGGUUGCUCAGUCCUGAAAAUUUCCUCCAGAAUUUUCUCCAAGGACGUCUUCCCCAGAGCUUCUUCAUCCACCCAUACAAGCAACUAACCUAAAGGAUUCGGUCCCCAGGGUUUUGUAGAGGGAGAUAACUCCUGGUGUUCAAAGGUGCUCUGUGACGUUUGAUCCUUGGUCUGACUCUAGGUAUCCGAAAUACUGCUUAAAUGGCCCCAAGAUCCUUUGGAGACUUAGAUGUUUCUCAUAAGAGAUGGUACCCAUCCUGGUUAACUCCUACAAAUUCACAACAUCCUCUAAUGCUCUAGUUCAAAGUAUUUUAAUUUCAGUAAUCAUUGUUUGCUACAGUGCUUUCUGGCCUUUUCUGCCUACAGUAUUUCUAAACAUUAAUUUAAUUGAACUUGAAAGAGAUUGUGCAUAAUGUGCCACAAUGUGGCAGACGAAUCAUAUAAACAGUGUCCUGCUGACAAGGUAGGUCUAACACAGGAACAACCCUGUCAGCACUGCUGGCCCACAUAGGACUACAAAUCCAAAACAGCCAUGGGUGCUCCCAAGAGGCACACAUGGGUGACAUCAUUCAUCUGGGGAUGGCUACCCUGACUGAAUCCAAGAUGCUUGCCCUUUCCAGUCAGUUUGUUUUUUCAGAACCAAUAUUUGGGAUGCUGCUUCAAUAUUUUACUCUAUUUCUGAUCCAUGCCUGCCUGGAGGCUGAGAUAAAAUAAGCCUGAAGCUGAAUACUUUGUCACCAAUUUUCCAGAGCCCUAGGACAGCACUGCUAAUAUCCAGGGCUAACAUGACCUUGCUAACCCACACCAGAGAACUAUCUAUUAAUUAAACAGACAGCUAACCUUAUAAUUAGGUCAACUACAUGUAUUCCAACCCAAGCCCUUGAUUCCACUCCUUUCUCUCCGAGAUUAUUUAGAGGAAAUAUCUCACUGAUAACACAGAAAUGUUCUCCUCACACCUCAAAAUGGACUCCUUAGUCCACAGCCACCCCCAAUGUCCCACAACUUCUGACAUCUACCCCAAUACAUUAAGCCUCCUCCGUGAGUUUUGUAUUUUUCAGAUUCCAUCAUUCUCCUGAGUUUUCUGUGAUCCUGAGGAUAUCACCAAGACAAAGGGAAAGCCUCAAUCCUGUGGGUGCUAGUUGGAUGAGUAAAAACCUUAAGACAAGGGAAUCUUGGAAAAAUCUUCAUAACAUCCUAAGAAUUCAUGAAUCAGCACCCAACCAGUUACCUCCCAGGGCUCCUCAAGGAGAAUCACCAAAUAGAAGUCCUUUCUAGGGGGUGACAGCGCCAUUCGGGAAGUCUAGCCUCCUCCUGAGAGUGCAACCCCAACACCUCUGCCUUUGGCACGUGAAACUUGCACUUUUCCUCUUCAGUACCCUUCCAGAGGCGAGAGAAAUGGGAAGCACCAGGUUCUGAUGCUAUGCCAGAUUAGGUCACAAGUGGAUGAUCUUUUUCCUUACGUGCAUCAAAUCUAACCAAUAAGUGUGCUGGUCUGACGUUCAUGGUGUGUUGUGACCCAGUAAGCCCAGCAGCAAGGAGCUAUGGAAGACACAGUCAGGAGGUUUUGUGGGACCAAUCAGGCCAGUGUGGCUAUUCCUGGCUUUCUGCACCUGCCCUUCAAAGAGUCUGCACAAGGUCAGAUUUUUCUAAAGGGAAGCCUCAGCCCUUACUGACUCGCUGGGUAAUCAGACCCUUUAUUUCCAUGUACAACUCAUCUUCCACUGGUAACAGCUUGUGAUAGUAUCCAGUUUUUCCGUCCUCCCUCCUACUGAAGUGCUCCGGAAGACCUUCCCAUUUAAAUAAGUCUAAGCAUGAAUCUCUGCUGAAGAUUCAUUCUGUAAAAUGAGGAAGUCAUCCCAAAUUUGUUUGCCUCAGCUGGCAUAAUCAUUUUUUCUAGAAUUGGUCUCCAUUGUGUAUCCCAUAUUCUUUUCAUCUUUGAUAUUUUUUUAAUUACCAAAAAAGAGGUUUGCUACCUAAACUGCAAAAAUGGUUGGUAACCAAUUUGUCUUUCUGCAUCAAAAUCUUUUUUUUUUUUUUAAGAUUUUAUCCAUUUAUUCAUGAGAGAGAGAGGCACAGACACAGGCAGAGGGAGGAGUAGGCUCCAUGCAGGGAGCCCGACGUGGGACUCGAUCCCGGGUCUCCAGGAUCACGCCCUGGAUCGAAGGCAGGCACUAAACUGCUCAGCCACCCAGGGAUCCCCUGCAUCAAAAUCUUUAAUGUCCUACAAAUACAGGUAAUUAUUACCAAAGGACCUGCAUUGUAGGUUAAAAAGGAAUCAGUGGUAUCCCCACCAGUGCAGGGAGUUCUGGGGAUCCCAGCUCUGCUUCACUGCCUGGGUAAGGUCAUUGCUAAGGAGAUAACGCCUGUCACUGCUCACAGACCUGUCUGGUGACCACAUUUUCAGAAGUGAGAAGUGGUGGCAGUCUGAUGCAUGACUGGCAAAGGGCCAGUUUAUCUUCUCUCUCAGAAACUGAGAUUGUCCCAGAAAACUGAGGCCACAUGGCUGCCCAUAGGAUAGCUCUGAAAAAGUCAUUCUCUGCUGCAUUCAGCGUAGGGCCUCACUUGGGGCCUCUAAAUCAUCUUGUCCCUCAGUGCUCGACUCAGCCCACUCUCCUUGGACACCUGGUGUUUAUAAGAUUGAUUAAAGCAGACAUUCAAAUAUUCCUUCAAACUGCCCUAUCCACAAUUUUCAUUUCCCUUUUAUCCCACCAAACCAGUCCCCUUUUAAAAAGAGAGAGGUUAGCAGUACAUGACCAAAACUGUGUCUAUUCAUUCCCGGGCAGGAGAUGUUACUGCUCUGUAUCAGACUGGCUCUUUCAAGAUUAAAAAGUAAUUAUUCUAAAAGAAGAGUGUAUGGUUAAAAUUAAACCAUAGACCCAAAGCUAUCAGAACCUGGACUUUGGACAAAUGCCAAAGAGGACAGUCAUAGGCAUCUUGCUGAGAAUACGGGGAAGAGAUCCACUAAGAGGAAGAGAUCUCAAACAAAUGGCCAUAUUAAAAAACUAAGUAAAAAGUUAGAACCUGUUCAACCACCCUACUUCAGUUAGAAGGCACUUUUUAACAACAUUAGGAAAGCGAAACUAGCUGUGGGUGGGGUGGAAAUGCUGCCAGGUCACCUUGCCUAAAGAAAUCCGACGAUUGCGCCUACAUGACAGACGUGCAGUGUUGGCACCGCCAUGGCACUGCUGGACCACGUGGCUAACGAGGACCAGGCUAGCAGUUUUUGUGGCUCCCUGCUCCAGCGGGCUGUACCUAGGUUUUGGUGAUCACUAGCUCAUCACUCAAGGUGACUUGGGUUCCCAGCUGUGAUUUGUUAUUUCAUAGUGUGAUUAAGAAACAAUCAUCUAGGAAAACACAGAUGUACGCAUCAGUGUGCAAGAAAGGCCUGAGGGUGCUGAGAGCUUCCUGGGUCAUG